rnacentral:sRNA from 1 species
CUUCAAGGUUCGACUCGAGCAAUAGUGAGAGAACGUUGCCGCAGGCAACGGCCCGAAGGGUGAGGAGCUUUAGCUCCGAAUAAUCCUUCCCGCUAUAGAA